AAAAUCUACGACCUGGGAAAGGAAAGAGCCAGUUGAGGAAAAGCCCUUUGUCCCUUCUUUGUUUAUAUCUCCAACUUCCCGAUUUUUCCUGUGGCUGUGAUGGCCAGGAUGUGGCAGCCCUCUGGUUAUAACAGUGUCACAAAUCCUUCAUUGAGGCUGCCUUGCAACCCAAGCUCUGCCUCUCUCCAAUCCUCUCUUUCCCUCCCUUCAUAGGUGCAGAUGCUGAGAGCACUUUCUAGUCAAGUCCUGCAUGUUCAUUUCUGUCUCAAGUCAGCUUCUCUGAGAAUCCAAUUUAUAAAAAUAUAUUUGUGAAUGUAUAAGUAAAGUGACUUGGAUUUUGUCUACGUACAAGGACUUCUAUGCCUGCAUAAAACAGUCUGACUGGUUGGAAGAGGCCCUUUUCCCAGCCUUUGUAGUGUUUUGCUGCUACAUGAAGGUGCACAUGUCUGGGAAGGCUCAGGAAUGGAUGUUGACAUCAUGUCAUAAACCCCUAUUGUGGUUUCAGUCAUUUGUGGAAUGGUUGCAGAUGGCGAUCAACUGAAGAACGGAUUUGUGGCGUUGUUGCGUAGUUUGGAACCAGCAGCAGCAGCAGCUCCCCA
rnacentral:lncRNA from 10 species